rnacentral:rRNA from 1 species
GUCCUACCAAAUCUAUGUAGGAUGAAACCUGCUCAAUGGCUACAAAUAAAAAAUAAUAGUAGUUAAAUAGCCGCGGUAACUCUGACCGUGAUAAAGUAGCAUAAUCACUCGUCAUUUAAUUGGUGACUAGAAUGAAUGGUUACACGAAUCUUUAACUGUCUCAACAAUACUGCUGAUUAAAUUGGAAUGGUAGUGAAGAUACUAUCUUGUAAUUGUAAGACGAAAAGACCCUAUCGAGCUUUACUAAAAACCUAGACUAAACAACACCAAUACACUUAUAUAUUAAAAACUCUAGGUCUAUUAGUUUGGUUGGGGCGACCACCUCUAAAAACGUAUCAGAGGAGACCUAAAGGUUACAUCAUAAUAUAAAAAACCUAACUGCAUAUCAAUAAAUUAACCAGACACACAAAGUGGGGUAUAAUGACCCGUUGAGUGACCUAAUAAACUCAACGAUUACAAAAAAAGUUACCGUAGGGAUAACAGGGUAAUAUUUCUGAAGAGUUCACAUCGAUAGAAAUGUUUGCCACCUCGAUGUUGAAUUGUGAUAACCUAAAGGUGUAGCAGCUUUUAAGGGUUG